rnacentral:rRNA from 1 species
UCCUACGGGGGGCAGCAGUGAGGAAUAUUGGUCAAUGGCCGCAGGGCUGAACCAGCCAAGUCGCGUGAGGGAUGACGGUCCUAUGGAUUGUAAACCUCUUUUGUCAGGGAGCAAAGGGCGCCACGUGUGGCGUUUUGCGAGUACCCGAAGAAAAAGCAUCGGCUAACUCCGUGCCAGCAGCCGCGGUAAUACGGAGGAUGCGAGCGUUAUCCGGAUUUAUUGGGUUUAAAGGGUGCGCAGGCGGAAUGUCAAGUCAGCGGUAAAAUUUCGGGGCUCAACCCCGUCGUGCCGUUGAAACUGGCGUU